rnacentral:rRNA from 1 species
UGGGGAAUAUUGCACAAUGGGGGAAACCCUGAUGCAGCAACGCCGCGUGAAGGAUGAAGGUUUUCGGAUUGUAAACUUCUUUUAUCGGGGAAGAUAAUGACGGUACCCGAUGAAUAAGCCACGGCUAACUACGUGCCAGCAGCCGCGGUAAUACGUAGGUGGCGAGCGUUGUCCGGAUUUACUGGGUGUAAAGGGCGAGUAGGCGGGAAAAUAAGUCAGAUGUGAAAUACCGGGGCUCAACCCCGGGGCUGCAUUUGAAACUAUUUUUCUUGAGUGAUGGAGAGGCAGGCGGAAUUCCCGGUGUAGCGGUGGAAUGCAUAGAUAUCGGGAGGAACACCAGUGGCGAAGGCGGCCUGCUGGACAUUAACUGACGCUGAGGAGCGAAAGCGUGGGGAGCAAACA